AUCAGAGGAGGGCGGAGAUUUGUGGUUAGGGCAGUCCUCCACUUCCAGAGAUCCAGGCUCCAGAAAUAGAGAACUUUCAAGCUUCAGGAUUUCAGAAGACAAAUUCCAUCUGGCUUAGUCUGCCUGGCUCACAAUGUGAAAAUUAAAAAUGAGAGAAGGGAAGGGACACAUCUAAAAAUCACAUAACACCAACGGGUCUCAACCUCCAGCCAUGGUGAUCUUGAGUCUGGGGCUCUUUUGAACACACCUCACAUUUAUAGCUGGCUGAUGAAAUAUCUGCUUCAGUAGCCGCAGGAUCACUUGUCAACCCUAAGAAGGCUGUCCUUCCCUCAGACUCAAAAAAUAAAUAAAUGAAUAAAAACUA